ACCGGAGACAACGUGACCGCGUUCGUUUCUGACGGAGGGGUGAAUUUUGUUCUCCUUUUUCUUGCCUGGCGUUGGUUCUUUGCGGAAUAGAAAUGUCGUUCACGGUUACUAUAUAGGCGAUCAUCAAACGCCCUUUUAUAAAUUGGGCUAUGCUCUGGGAAAGAUUUGGUAACCCAUUAUGGACCUUUAGUACAACAUUGUAGUGGACAGGCAAGAAAAUUAUCUGAUCCCAUCUACGGUGCCCCAGAUACAGCACAAGAAGAAAAGCUAAUGGGAUUAGUGUACCACCCACAAGGACAACAGUGCAGCAGAUGUAUAUUUUCAUUACUAAUUUGCGAUGGCUUGUAAUGCCAGUAGAAGUAGACUUAACAGGAUAUUAUGCUGUACUGUUUUCUAGCCAUAAAAUGCUGUACUGUCUUCAAGCCAUAAAACAUGAUCUUUGCAUUCUGAAAGCAAGAGAUUUUCCAAUGAUGAAAACCCAUUAAUUCUCCCUGCUUCAGUUUGGCCACUACCAAAGAUACUAACGAAUGAAUGUAAGGAUAUGAGACAGCUUGGUUUGGAUACUGGAAAAUGGAAAGGAGCAGC